CCUACGGGUGGCAGCAGUGGGGAAUAUUGGACAAUGGGCGAAAGCCUGAUCCAGCCAUGCCGCGUGUGUGAAGAAGGCCUUCGGGUUGUAAAGCACUUUCAGUUGGGAAGAAAGCCUUGGGGCUAAUACCCUCGAGGAAGGACAUCACCCACAGAAGAAGCACCGGCUAACUCCGUGCCAGCAGCCGCGGUAAUACGGAGGGUGCGAGCGUUAAUCGGAAUUACUGGGCGUAAAGCGCGCGUAGGCGGUCUGAUAAGCCGGUUGUGAAAGCCCCGGGCUCAACCUGGGAACGGCAUCCGGAACUGUCAGGCUAGAGUGCAGGAGAGGAAGGUAGAAUUCCCGGUGUAGCGGUGAAAUGCGUAGAGAUCGGGAGGAAUACCAGUGGCGAAGGCGGCCUUCUGGACUGACACUGACGCUGAGGUGCGAAAGCGUGGGUAGCAAACAGGAUUAGAUACCCGUGUAGUC
rnacentral:rRNA from 1 species